AUCUCAUCUGAUGUUCAUGCAUAUCUAUGUAAUAAUCUAUUUAGUUUUAAGGGAAAUAAUAUGUGUCUAAUGUCUAUAUGUGUUGUUUUAGGUUCAGAUCACUUUCAGGACUUGUCAAAUAGACCCAAAGGGAUAUCAUAGAAUGUGUGUAGAUGUGAUUGGAGCUUACAGUGCACAAAAGACAGAGCUUAACAUAAGCUUGACGGCAAUAGGCCUUUUGUGGACUACAACUGACUUUAUUACAAAGGGGAUUACACAUGGACCUGUGGAAGAAAGGGAAACAGGUAUAUGACAAGUGCACAACAAAUGGACUCAUAACAAAGACAAGUGCACAAAGGAUGAUGAAUUGAAGGAUGGAGCAAGUUUCAUGCAUAGUUUACUUUUGUGUAUCUUGUAAUGUUUUUGUUUUUCAUUUUUGAAGUAAAAAAUGUUCAAGAUUAUAAAACUUUACUAUGUUAUGCUUUCAAACUUAAGUCAGAACUAAGAUCUCAUGAAGUAGACACAUUCAUAGUUUGAAUUAGUUAUUGUUUAAUGUAAUACUUAUGGUUUAUCAA